GACGAACGCUGGCGGCGUGCUUAACACAUGCAAGUCGAACGAAGUGGCGAACGGGUGAGUAACGCGUAAUCAACCUGCCCUUCAGAGGGGGAUAACAGUUGGAAACGACUGCUAAUACCGCAUAAUGAAGGAGGGGAUUGCGUCUGAUUAGCUAGUUGGGGGGGUAACGGCCCACCAAGGCGAUGAUCAGUAGCCCGUCUGGGAGGAGGAACUGCCAAAUUGGGACUGAGGAACGGCCCAAAAUCCUACGGGAGGCAACAGUGGGGAAUCUUCCGCAAUGGACGGAAGUCUGACGGAGCAACGCCGCGUGAGUGAUGACGGCCUUCGGGUUGUAAAGCUCUGUUAAUCGGGACGCGGUACCGGAAUAGAAAGCCACGGCUAACUACGUGCCAGCAGCCGCGGUAAUAC
rnacentral:rRNA from 1 species